GUUCGACUCGAGCGAAGCGAGAGAACGUUGCGCCAGCAACGGCCCGCAGGGCGAGCCACGAAGUGGCGAGUAAUCCUCUGGCACCGACCA
rnacentral:sRNA from 1 species